GCCAGCCGCCGCGGUAACACCGGCAGCUCUAGUGGUAGCUGUUUUAUUGGGCCUAAAGCGUUCGUAGCCGGUUUGAUAAGUCACUGGUGAAAUCCUGUAGCUUAACUGUGGGAAUUGCUGGUGAUACUGUUGAACUUGAGGUCGGGAGAGGUUAGCGGUACUCCCAGGGUAGAGGUGAAAUUCUGUAAUCCUGGGAGGACCACCUGUGGCGAAGGCGGCUAACUGGAACGAACCUGACGGUGAGGGACGAAAGCUAGGGGCGCGAACCGGAUUAGAUACCCGGGUAGUCCUAGCCGUAAACGAUGCGGACUUGGUGUUGGGAUGGCUUUGAGCCGCUCCGGUGCCGAAGGGAAGCUGUUAAGUCCGCCGCCUGGGAAGUACGGUCGCAAGACUGAACUUAAAGGAAUUGGCGGGGGAGCACCACAACGCGUGGAGCCUGCGGUUUAAUUGGAUUCAACGCCGGACAUCUCACCAGGAGCGACAGCUGUAUGAUUACCAGGCUGAUGACCUUGUUUGACUAGCUGAGAGGAGGUGCAUGG
rnacentral:rRNA from 1 species